CUCAAGUGAUCCACCUGCCUCGCCUUCCAAAGUGCUGGGAUUACAGGCAUGAACCACCAUGCCUGGCCAAGGAAUCUAUAUCUUAACAAGUCUGUGUUAAAAUAUAAGUGGCAGCUGGGCGCGGUGGCUCACACCUGUAAUCCCAGCACUUUGGGAGGUCAAGGCGGGCAGAUCACGAGGUUAGGAGAUCGAGACCAUCCUGGCUAACACGGUGAAACCCCAUCUCUACUAAAAAUACAAAAAAAUUAGCCAGACAUGGUGGCAGCCUCCUGUAGUCCCAGCUACUCGGGAGGCUGAGGCAGGAGAAGGGCAUGAACCUGGCAGGCGGAGCUUGCAGUGAGCCAAGAUGGCGUCACUGCACUCCAGCCUGAGGGACAGAGCAAGACUCUGUCUCAAAAAAAAAAGAAAAAAAAGUGGCACAGAUCAAUUAUAAAUCACUGCUUCAAGGCCAGUGCUCUCACUUUGUACAUUAAUAAUCUCAGGCCCAAAUAAGAUAAGUGAUAUGUCAACGUAUGUUCACUUUGGUCUUUACAUGGCAGCUAUAGUAUACGGAAUAUUAUAAGCUCAGAUCGUCAUAGCUACAUAACUCCUUUAGUUGGAAGAUCACGCGUAAAUGCCCAUCAAGAGCUAGCAGUUCUGCAUUUGACUCUUGAAGACCGUGGCAUGGCAGACAACACUUCUUGAGCUGUAACAGGUGGACAUUAAAUCCAUGACAGGAGGUAGAGACGGCCAGAUUACUUGAGCCCAAGAGUUUGAGACCAGCCUAGGCAACAUGGUGAGACCUCAUCUCUACUGAAAAAGGAGGAUAAUCCAACUCUCUUCUACUUCACAUUAAUAUCCUUUUAAUGAGCAUGGUCAGAUACUUUGGAAAGUUGUGGAGAUAACUUCAGAAACUAAAUCUGAAUAAAAACCUAUGUGUAAACGAUCAUAUAGAUGGCUGUUAGCAAAGUGGUACUUUUGUAAACUUUACAGUUGACAUACUAUAGUAUAUACUACAUAUAUACUUAUAUACUACAUAUAAUACAUAGAAUUAUACAUAAUAUACUAUAGUAUGUCAACUAUAGUAUAGUAUAUUUGACACGUUUAAAAUGUACAGUUUCAUAGGUUUUAAGAUACAUAUAUACACAGGAAGCCAUCAUCACAAUCAAGAUAGUGAACAUAACCUAAAUCUCCAGAAGUCCCUCAUGUUCCUUUGUGAUCUUGUCUCCUGCCCCUUCAUACCGUCCAUCCCCAGGGAAC
rnacentral:lncRNA from 1 species